rnacentral:ncRNA from 1 species
GUCGGGUAAGCGCAGGAGAUGUAGAGGCCGCUCUCACGAGUGGCAGCCUGUAAUGGGUGGGAUCCUCGGUUCCUGGGACCCUUCAACUU